rnacentral:rRNA from 1 species
UACGUAGGGUGCGAGCGUUGUCCGGAAUUAUUGGGCGUAAAGAGCUCGUAGGCGGCCUGUUGCGUCGGUUGUGAAAGCCCGGGGCUUAACCCCGGGUCUGCAGUCGAUACGGGCAGGCUAGAGUUCGGUAGGGGAGAUCGGAAUUCCUGGUGUAGCGGUGAAAUGCGUAGAUAUCGGGAGGAACACCAGUGGCGAAGGCGGCUUCCUGGCCUGUUCUUGACGCUGAGGCGCGAAAGCUAGGGAAGCAAACGGG